UACAGAGGUCUCAAGCGUUGUUCGGAUUCAUUGGGCGUAAAGGGCGCGUAGGCUGCGGGGCAAGUCGGGUGUGAAAUCUCGGAGCUUAACUCCGAAACUGCAUUCGAUACUGCCGUGCUUGAGGACUGGAGAGGAGACUGGAAUUUACGGUGUAGCAGUGAAAUGCGUAGAGAUCGUAAGGAAGACCAGUGGCGAAGGCGGGUCUCUGGACAGUUCCUGACACUGAGGCACGAAGGCCAGGGGAGCAAACGGG
rnacentral:rRNA from 1 species